rnacentral:sRNA from 1 species
GUCUGUCGAUGAUCUCACUCCUCCUCCCAGAGAUCGUCGGCCCCAAGAACGGCGGCGCUCCUCCUCCCAGCCAGCCGUUCACCUUUAGAGAAAGCCUGCCGCUCCUCCUCCCGCGGCAGGCUUUUUCG